GUGUAGCGGUGAAAAUGGUAAGAAAUUCNGAGGAAUCCCGGUGGCGGAAGCGGCUCCUUGGACGAAGACUGCCGUUCAGGUGCGAAAGCGUGGGAGAGCAACAAGAAUUAGAUACCCUGUUAGUCCACGCGUAAACGAUGUCGACUUGGAGGUUGUGCCCUCGAGGCGUGGCUUCCGGAGCUAACGCGUUAAGUCGACGCCUGGGGAGUACGGCCGCAAGGUUAAACUCCAAAUGAAUUGCCGGGGCCCGCACAAGCGGUGGAGCAUGUGGUUUAAUUCGAUGCAACGCGAAGAAACCUUUACCUGGUCUUGACAUCCACAGAACUUUCCAGAGAUGGAUUGGUGCCUUCGGGAACUGUGAGACAGGUGCUGCAUGGCUGUCGUCAGCUCGUGUUGUGAAAUGUUGGGUUAAGUCCCGCAACGAGCGCAACCCUUAUCUUUUGUUGCCAGCGGUCCGGCCGGGAACUCAAAGGAGACUGCCAGUGAUAAACUGGAGGAAGGUGGGGANGACGUCAAGUCAUCAUGGCCCUUACGACCAGGGCUACACACGUGCUACAAUGGCGCAUACAAAGAGAAGCGACCUCGCGAGAGCAAGCGGACCUCAUAAAGUGCGUCGUAGUCCGGAUUGGAGUCUGCAACUCGACUCCAUGAAGUCGGAAUCGCUAGUAAUCGUGGAUCAGAAUGCCACGGUGAAUACGUUCCCAGGCCUUGUACACACCGCCCGUCACACCAUGGGAGUGGGUUGCAAAAGAAGUAGGUAGCUUAACCUUCGGGAGGGCGCUUACCACUUUGUGAUUCAUGACUGGGGUGAAGUUGUAACAAGGUAACCGUAGGGGAACCUGCGGCUGGAUCACCUCCUU
rnacentral:rRNA from 1 species